CAACUUUCACAUUAGUCUCCUGCAUUUUAUCCUUUGUAGCUUCACAUGUGAUCUGACUGAUGUAUUGCAAAUGAUUCCCUGGGCCUCUUUGUUGCCUCCUCAGUGCCCUUCGCUUGUCUUGAGGUGUCAAAAACACAUACUCCCUCGUACAGAUACACUAUUUCAUCCUGAGAUCUGCUCUCCACUAUGCUGAUAAUGAACAGUGUGUCGUGUCUUAAUAGGAUGCUUCCUGUCGAGCCAGGGCCACCUCGUAGAACACAGCCAGGCCGGCCUUGUCUCUGUCACCCCUGUCAUCUCACAUCAGAUCCUGUUUGACUCCAAAGCGGUGCUCUUUGGGUAAAACCAUUAACGGAGCCGACCGACACAAACAGGACCACAUUUUGACACUCAGCCGCCACCCUGACGUAACCGAGCACGACACCUGACGUGGGGAAAAGGUCACACGACUCGUCAAAGAGACAGGGGUGCCUCAGAUGGAGGACGCGAGGACUCAAAAAUGGACGCCUCCCGACAGUGAUGAUGGACACAUGGCUGAAGCAUGGCCUUCUGGGAGCGGUGGGAGGAGUGGAUGUCCUGCCGGGAACUGUCCCUUCCGGUUCCUCCGGUCCGCUGACGAGUUGUGUCCUCGCUGAUUUUGCAUGAUGAGACUCACACUAAGAUAAAAACAGGCAGCAGCUUCUUCCCUGUGACUGACUGACUGCAGUCCAAGGAGACCACUUGGCACCUGGAGUGACAGGCUGCCAUCAGCGUGUAAAGAUGCUAAUAUGAAUUCUGAUCACUCACUCAUAUAGGCAAGGGAAUUACUGCCCAUCACCAGCAUCUAGUGAUUCUCCACACAUGGCAAAGUCAAGGGGCACGGUGUAAAACCCAGGCAAAUGGAGUUGGCACGACAAUCAAAGCCAGAUUCUGCUUGACACUUCCUUCCUAAGUGAUAGUGCUGCAAGAUGUGCUCUGUAAUGUAAUAAAUUGGGAGCUCUGCCCUCAAGAUUUCAGACUGAUGAGAAAUUUCUAUGACAAAUCCAUCGCUUAAACUAUCUCUGUCCUUCAGUCUUCACGCCUGCUUGAGCCCAGGGGGGUCAAAGGCUAAUUACCAAACAGGAUAAGAGGCAGAGGAGGAGAAAGACAGCACAUUCAUAUUUUUAAAAGGUGUAAAUUUAUGCAGAUUAUUGCUAAGAGUGAAAUGUCUUUUAACUCUAAUUUAAGAGGAAGAAGCUUGACGUGAAUCCAUGGACGGGAGCUAGCAAACUUUAACAGCAUGUCACUGUUGAUACUUAACUUUGGUUUGUUU
ensembl:lncRNA